rnacentral:rRNA from 1 species
GACAGAGGGGGCAAGCGUUGCCCGGAUUUACUGGGCGUAAAGAGCGCGCAGGCGGUCGUUCAAGUCGCGUGUGAAAGCCCCCGGCUCAACUGGGGAGGGUCACGCGAUACUGAUCGACUCGAAGGCAGGAGAGGGUAGUGGAAUUCCCGGUGUAGUGGUGAAAUGCGUAGAUAUCGGGAGGAACACCAGUGGCGAAGGCGACUACCUGGCCUGUUCUUGACGCUGAGGCGCGAAAGCUAGGGGAGCAAACGGG